rnacentral:sRNA from 1 species
UAAGUAGCAGAGGAAACUGAAGCCCUCUAUUAUUCACAGGCCAAGUACUGUGCAAGCAGUUACAAUAUGAGCUUUCCUCACACAAUCUUGCCAGUGGCUUCAACCCUGACCUGGAAGGAGCACCCUGUCUUGGGGUGAGUGCUAAUUCAGUGUCAGUGCUGCUUGGUCUGAUGGAGAG